rnacentral:sRNA from 1 species
CUGUAUUCCCGGCUGCUAUAGAGCCGGGUUAGAGAGCGAGCGCCCGUCCGCGGGCGUCGAGGGCGGGUUGCCUCGCGCUGACCCUUCCCGCCCUCGUUACACACCAGGUCCCCGCGGAAGCGGCGGUGUCGGCGCCAUGGCGGAGCUGACGGCUCUUGAGAGUCUCAUCGAGAUGGGCUUCCCCAGGGGACGCGCGUAAGGGAGUUCCCCAACCCCGGCCUGCGGGGGUGGGGGGGCCGCGGACCUGUCUCGGCCUUUGCCCCAGCCUGACCGUCACCAUGGCUCGUGGGCGCUAUUCAUGGUGUUUCUGCCCCCAGGGAGAAGGCUCUGGCCCUCACAGGGAACCAGGGCAUCGAGGCUGCGAUGGACUGGCUGAUGGAGCACGAAGACGACCCAGAUGUGGACGAGCCUCUAGAGACUCCCCUUGGACAUAUCCUGGGACGGGAGCCCACUUCCUCAGAGCAAGGCGGCCUUGAAGGAUCUGGUUCUGCUGCCGGAGAAGGCAAACCCGUUUUGAGUGAAGAGGAAAGACAGGAACAGACUAAGAGGAUGUUGGAGCUGGUGGCCCAGAAGCAGCGGGAGCGUGAAGAGAGAGAGGAACGGGAGGCAUUGGAACGGGAACGGCAGCGCAGGAGACAAGGGCAAGAGUUGUCAGCAGCACGACAGCGGCUACAGGAAGAUGAGAUGCGCCGGGCUGCUGAGGAGAGGCGGAGGGAAAAGGCCGAGGAGUUAGCAGCCAGACAAAGAGUUAGAGAAAAGAUCGAGAGGGACAAAGCAGAGAGAGCCAAGAAGGUAGGUGACUGAGAAGACGCCACGGGUAAUGGAGCGGGCAGGUUAGUAAAUCUGUUCCAGCUUCAGAGGCAAAGCAUGGGCUUAUAUGAUGUUUCACUUGAGGAUGGGUGAGUACCUGAUUGAGUGUUUUACUUUGCCCUUUAGUAUGGUGGCAGUGUGGGCUCUCAGCCACCCCCACCGGCACCAGAGCCAGGUCCUGUUCCCUCUUCUCCCAGCCAGGAGCCUCCCAACAAGCGGGAGUAUGACCAGUGUCGCAUACAGGUCAGGCUGCCAGAUGGGACCUCAC